rnacentral:lncRNA from 1 species
AGGGCUUUUAGCUAUUGACCGCCUGGGCCCUUCAAGAGACUCACCUGCUAAUAUGCAAAGCUUUGCACCAGCAUCCAGGUCUUCUAGUAACCAAGAAGGCUAGCAGGGUAGCUCAGAAAUGGAAGGAGGGGAGGGCAGAAGAGGAGACAAAGGUCAGGGCAAGAGAGGCUUCAGCUCCCACAGCUGUAGGAAAGGGACACGCUUUCAAGCUCUGGACAGGAGGGAGCAGCACGGCCCUACAGACAGGCAGUCCCAUUUCCUCUUCAUCAGCUGGAACCACGCCUGGCUGGACUGUCCUCUGCUGGAGCUGCCCUCGGAGAGAUUCUGCACAUCUGUGACUCACUUCAAGCCAAUUACACCAGGCCAGGGGCACAAAUAGCAUGAACCCACACAACUGACUCCAUUGUGGAAGUGCUGUUCAGGCUACAAAACUCAGCCCGUAGAUGACAACACCUGCCAAAACUACAACAAAGACCUAACCCAUCAAAG